UACAGAGGUCCCAAGCGUUGUUCGGAUUCACUGGGCGUAAAGGGUGCGUAGGCGGUCGGGUAAGUCUGAUGUGAAAUCUCACAGCUUAACUGUGAAACUGCAUUGGAUACUAUCCGGCUAGAGUAUGGCAGGGGAGACUGGAAUUCCUGGUGUAGCGGUGAAAUGCGCAGAUAUCAGGAGGAACACCGGUGGCGAAGGCGGGUCUCUGGGCCGUAACUGACGCUGAGGAGCGAAAGCGUGGGGAGCGAACAGG
rnacentral:rRNA from 1 species